AUUGAACGCUGGCGGAAUGCUUUACACAUGCAAGUCGAGCGGCAGCGCGGGGGCAACCCUGGCGGCGAGCGGCGAACGGGUGAGUAAUGCAUCGGAACGUACCCAUUUGUGGGGGAUAACUAUCCGAAAGGAUAGCUAAUACCGCAUAAGUCCUGAGGGAGAAAGCAGGGGAUCGCAAGACCUUGCGCGAAUGGAGCGGCCGAUGCCGGAUUAGCUAGUUGGUAGGGUAAAGGCCUACCAAGGCGACGAUCCGUAGCUGGUCUGAGAGGAUGAUCAGCCACACUGGAACUGAGACACGGUCCAGACUCCUACGGGAGGCAGCAGUGGGGAAUUUUGGACAAUGGGCGCAAGCCUGAUCCAGCCAUUCCGCGUGAGUGAAGAAGGCCUUCGGGUUGUAAAGCUCUUUCGGCAGGAACGAAACGGUGGGGGCUAAUACCCUCCGCUAAUGACGGUACCUGAAGAAGAAGCACCGGCUAACUACGUGCCAGCAGCCGCGGUAAUACGUAGGGUGCGAGCGUUAAUCGGAAUUACUGGGCGUAAAGCGUGCGCAGGCGGUUCUAUAAGACAGAUGUGAAAUCCCCGGGCUUAACCUGGGAACUGCGUUUGUGACUGUAGGACUUGAGUGUGGCAGAGGGGGGUGGAAUUCCACGUGUAGCAGUGAAAUGCGUAGAGAUGUGGAGGAACACCGAUGGCGAAGGCAGCCCCCUGGGUCAACACCGACGCUCAUGCACGAAAGCGUGGGUAGCAAACAGGAUUAGAUACCCUGGUAGUCCACGCCCUAAACGAUGCGAACUAGGUGUUGGGGAAGGAGACUUUCUUAGUACCGCAGCUAACGCGUGAAGUUCGCCGCCUGGGGAGUACGGUCGCAAGAUUAAAACUCAAAGGAAUUGACGGGGACCCGCACAAGCGGUGGAUGAUGUGGAUUAAUUCGAUGCAACGCGAAAAACCUUACCUACCCUUGACAUGCCAGGAACUUGCCAGAGAUGGCUUGGUGCCCGAAAGGGAGCCUGGACACAGGUGCUGCAUGGCUGUCGUCAGCUCGUGUCGUGAGAUGUUGGGUUAAGUCCCGCAACGAGCGCAACCCUUGUCAUUAGUUGCCAUCAUUUAGUUGGGCACUCUAAUGAGACUGCCGGUGACAAACCGGAGGAAGGUGGGGAUGACGUCAAGUCCUCAUGGCCCUUAUGGGUAGGGCUUCACACGUCAUACAAUGGUCGGUACAGAGGGUUGCCAAGCCGCGAGGUGGAGCCAAUCCCAGAAAGCCGAUCGUAGUCCGGAUCGGAGUCUGCAACUCGACUCCGUGAAGUCGGAAUCGCUAGUAAUCGUGGAUCAGCAUGCCACGGUGAAUACGUUCCCGGGUCU
rnacentral:rRNA from 1 species